CAGCAGCCGCGGUAAUACGAAGGGUGCAAGCGUUACUCGGACUUACUGGGCGUAAAGCGUGCGUAGGUGGUGGUUUAAGUCCGUUGUGAAAGCCCUGGGCUCAACCUGGGAAUUGCAGUGGAUACUGGAUCACUAGAGUGUGGUAGAGGAUAGUGGAAUUUCCGGUGUAGCAGUGAAAUGCGUAGAGAUCGGAAGGAACAUCUGUGGCGAAGGCGACUAUCUGGGCCAACACUGACACUGAGGCACGAAAGCGUGGGGAGCAAACAGGAUUAGAUACCCCGGUAGUCCCUGUCUCUUAUAC
rnacentral:rRNA from 1 species